GACGAACCGUCCUAACGUUGUUCGGAAUCACUGGGCUUAAAGGGCGCGUAGGAGGGUUCCCAAGUCGGUGGUGAAAUCUUUCGGCCCAACCGGAAAACAGCCGCCGAUACUGGGAGUCUUGAGGGAGGUAGGGGUCGAUGGAACUUCCGGUGGAGCGGUGAAAUGCGUAGAUAUCGGAAGGAACGCCGGUGGCGAAAGCGAUCGACUGGACCUUUUCUGACGCUGAGGCGCGAAAGCCAGGGGAGCAAACGGG
rnacentral:rRNA from 1 species